rnacentral:rRNA from 1 species
UAGGGAAUCUUCCACAAUGGGCGGCAAGCCUGAUGGAGCGACACCGCGUGAGUGAAGAAGGGUUUCGGCUCGUAAAGCUCUGUUGUUAAAGAAGAACACGUAUGAGAGUAACUGUUCAUACGUUGACGGUAUUUAACCAGAAAGUCACGGCUAACUACGUGCCAG